AGGUCGCUGCUCUGGCGCAGGUUGCUGCUCCGCCCGGGAUGGCGGCGGCGGGGCCGUGGGCCGCUGGUUACCCGGAGGCGCUGGUCGCCCCUGCCCUCGGGAGCCAGGCCUGCAGGCUCAGCCGUGUGCUGCUGUGAGGAGCGCGGGUGCGGGCAGUGACAAGAGCCCGGCUCCGGCGUGGCUGCCUGCCUCCUCAUCCACAGGCACCUUCGCUGCUGAAGAGCAGAGACAGAGCACGCCAGCUCCAACAGCUGGAGUUUCUUACCACUGAAUGGUCACAAAAAGUGGACCACCCUUGAGGAUUGCUACUCCAGAUCUGUAGUUCUGCUGCUGAGAUGGCAACAAUUGACAUGCUUCCCGAAUAAUCCACGAGUUUAUUGGACCUCUUGCUCUACCUUAUCACAUGCUCAAGGCUGGCUGCAGGAAGGCUCCGUCAUGGAGAAGGUGACGAGCUGGGGACGUGCUGUGCGGAGGAAUCCUCCCGGCCCAGACGUGUCCUGCCCUGUGCCCGCUGGGAACUCAACCAAGGACGUUUGUCCCCCGUCAGACAUCUAUCCUGCUUCUCCUCUCUUCAAAACCUGACUAACCCUUUGCCAGCAUCCAAAGAUCAUCAGAGGAGCUGACAAAGGCAUCAUCACUUCCUUUGCUGUAAUCUCCGCCUGGAUAUGACCUGACUGCCUUCAGCUAAAAUUCUGCAAGAGUUGAGAAGGUGACAGAUGCAAGAAAUGCCACAGAGUUCAGAAGCUUUAGAGAAAUAGUUAGUGCUGGAAAUUGCAAAUAGUAUAUUAGCAUCGCUGAAUGUGCUAAUAGCUGGGCCGUGCCCUGUACUGUGCCCGGGGCAGCAGGUGGAGUUCAGCGUUUCUGUCCUGAGUGGGCAGAGGGCAGGAACCUGUGCCCCGAACCCGCUCCCUUGGCAGCACUGACCCCGCCGUGCCCGGGGGAGAAAUGGGGGUGACAGAGCAAAACCAACUGGAUUCAGCGCCCGGUUAUUGUUCAAGGUGAGUGAGGAAGCCCACGUCACACUGGGUAUUCUGUCUCACCUCUAGUUGUUGUGGAGCAUGACUGUGGUACGGCAGGAGGAUGGACAGGGAGGAGGCCUGGGUUUGACUGGCGUCUGAAACACAGGUGCACCUGCAGGCACAACUACACACUAAAGCUUCAUAGAAAAUGUUGUGCCGGGCUAGCAGAGGCACUCGCCUGCCUCAGCCCUCGCCUGCCUCAGCCCUCACCUGCCUCAGCCCUCACCUGCCUCAGCACUCGCCUGCCUCAGCCCUCACCUGCCUCAGCCCUCGCCUGCCUCAGCCCUCACCUGCCUCAGCCCUCACCUGCCUCAGCACUCACCUGCCUCAGCCCUCACCUGCCUCAGCCCUCACCUGCCUCAGCCCUCACCUGCCUCAGCCCUCACCUGCCUCAGCACUCACUGUGCCCAACGCUGAAAUAGAACCUAAAAUCCCACGCCCGAAACCAGCAGGGAAAUGAAUGAAACCUUCUGGAGGUGCUCACACGCAGCCCAGUCCACACAUGGGCUGUACGGGAGCGCUGGCGGCUCCACAGCUGCUGCAAUCACAAGAUGAAAUCAAUCCGGAGCUACAGCUGCAGAAAUUCCAGAAAUUCCUGCUCGGCUUGCCUGCAAUGCAAAGCAGGGUGUGAGCACAGGAGAACCAGCUGAAUGCUCAUCUCUCUGCUUCCUCCCAAAACCAGUGCUUGCUUUUCCUUAAAGAAAAUCUGGUUUACCCUAAAUUCAUCAGAAAAGAGCAGAUAAUUGGGUGAUACAAACAGUUGUAGCUCCAUGGUCGCCAACAAACAUUGAUUUCUAGGGUAAUUUCAGUGCGAAGAACUGCUGCUUGGUGAUGGGCAGUGGGGUGGGUGGAUAGUCAAGAGUAAGCAGUAAGAUACAUCAUUACCUAGUGAUUAAAAUGCAGUAUUAGUCAUUGAA